AUGGGAAAGCUCAUAGAGUUCCUGCUUUUGAUCUCAAGCCUCUUCACUGUGGUUGCAGCAGAUUGGAGCAUUUUGAACCAGAAGAAGAAGAGUAACAAUGGGGCAGUGGGAGAUGGCUUGAAGAAGUACUGUGAGAGUUGGAGGAUCAAUGUGGAGGUCAACAACAUUAGAGGGUUUGAUGUGGUGCCUCAAGAAUGUGUUGAGCACAUAAGGAAUUACAUGACAUCUUCUCAGUACAACGCUGACUCAGAGAGGGCCUUGGAGGAAGUCACUCUCUACCUGAGCAGCAGUUACUGCUGCACUUUGGAGGGUGAUGGUAAAGAUGCUUGGAUUUUUGAUGUUGAUGAUACACAUCUCCACUAUUCCUUAUUUCAAGAAACAUGGUUUUGGGGGAGAGAAGCUGAAUGCAACAUCUUUGGAAACGUGGAUGAAAGAGAGCAAGGCACCAGCUCUAGAGCACACUUUAAAGCUCUUCCAUGAUAUUAAAGACCAAGGAUUUAAGAUCUUUCUCAUCUCUACAAGGAGGGAGACCCUUAGAUCUUCAAGCGUAGAUAACCUCAUUAAGGUUGGAUACCAUGGAUGGACUAGUCUUGUACUAAGGGGUCUCGAAGAUGAAUUUAUGGAAGUGCAGAUGUACAAGUCUAAGGCAAGGCAUCGACUGAUCGAUGAAGGUUACCGCAUUCGGGGAAUCAUCGGAGACCAGUGGAGCAGUUUCGAGGGCCUUCCUGCUGCUAAAAGAACAUUCAAACUACCCAAUUCCAUGUACUAUAUCUAG